GGGGACGUUAUGGAUUCGACAGGUGUAGUCGAGCUUGGAUUGCGCUUCGUAGGUUACGGCUACGUUAAAACGUUACAGUUAAUUAUAACUGCAAAAAAUAAUAAUAAUUCUUACGCCUUAGCUGCCUAACCGUAGCGUUGCGUAGAUCCGCCUAUCAUCGCCCAUGUGGUGGAUACGGGUCUUAAAUUAAGUGGGCUACGUGCAAUCUUCCCACCUGAAAGAUUGUAAAGAGAUUAUCAGGUUAGCUAGUUAAUGGUUGCCUUGUCAUCUGGCGUUUUUGACUAGUGAACUUCUAAAUGAGAUGACUAUGAGCGUAGAGUUCUAAGUGGCGGUACGCCUGGACGCGGGUUCGACUCCCGCCGUCUCCAUAA
rnacentral:tmRNA from 3 species